rnacentral:rRNA from 1 species
CUACGGGAGGCUGCAGUGGGGAAUAUUGCAGAAUGGGCGCAAGCCUGAUGCAGCCAUGCCGCGUGUAUGAGGAAGGCCUUCGGGUUGUAAAGUACUUUCAGCGGGGAGGAAGGGAGUAAAGUUAAUACCUUUGCUCAUUGACGUUACCCGCAGAAGAAGCACCGGCUAACUCCGUGCCAGCAGCCGCGGUAAUACGGAGGGUGCAAGCGUUAAUCGGAAUUACUGGGCGUAAAGCGCACGCAGGCGGUUUGUUAAGUCAGAUGUGAAAUCCCCGGGCUCAACCUGGGAACUGCAUCUGAUACUGGCAAGCUUGAGUCUCGUAGAGGGGGGUAGAAUUCCAGGUGUAGCGGUGAAAUGCGUAGAGAUCUGGAGGAAUACCGGUGGCGAAGGCGGCCCCCUGGACGAAGACUGACGCUCAGGUGCGAAAGCGUGGGGAGCAAACAGGAUUAGAUACCCCCGUAGUC